rnacentral:lncRNA from 1 species
UGGUGGGGGACGGUGGCACUAGUGCUCGGAGAUUGGACAGCGGCGGCGAUAGGGCUACAGUGUGGAGAUUGGAAAGACAAUUGGCAAAGGUAAAAUGGAAGGAAUAAUUUCUUCCGUUAUUUAUCAUCGCGGCGCGGUAACAACAACGUGAAUAAAGGAAUUUCAGAUUUAACGGAUCCACAGAUUUUGAGCAUCUGAUUGGCAGUUUCCUUUAUUUUCAGAAGAGAUAAGAUUUCCUUUCAGAAAUGGUCACGUUAACCAGAGGUUGACC